rnacentral:rRNA from 1 species
GCACAAGCGGUGGAGCAUGUGGUUCAAUUCGACGCAACGCGAAGAACCUUACCUGGGCUCGAAAUGUAGUGGACCGGGGUGGAAACAUCCCUUUUCGCAAGAACUGCUAUAUAGGUGCUGCAUGGCUGUCGUCAGCUCGUGUCGUGAGAUGUUGGGUUAAGUCCCGCAACGAGCGCAACCCUUAUUGUCAGUUGCCAUCAUUAAGUUGGGCACUCUGGCGAAACCGCCUCGGAUAACGGGGAGGAAGGUGGGGAUGACGUCAAGUCCUCAUGGCCUUUAUGUCCAGGGCUACACACGUGCUACAAUGGUCGGUACAAACCGUCGCAAACCCGCGAGGGGGAGCUAAUCGGAAAAAGCUGACCUCAGUUCGGAUUGGAGUCUGCAACUCGACUCCAUGAAGCUGGAAUCGCUAGUAAUCGCGGAUCAGAACGCCGCGGUGAAUACGUUCCCGGGC